rnacentral:rRNA from 1 species
UCGGACGGGUGAGUAACGCGUGAGAAUCUGGCAAAAGGUUCGGGACAACAGUUGGAAACGGCUGCUAAUACCGGAUGUGCCUGUGGGUGAAAGAUUAAUCGCCUUUUGAUGAGCUCGCGUCUGAUUAGCUAGUUGGUGUGGUAAGAGCGCACCAAGGCGACGAUCAGUAGCUGGUCUGAGAGGAUGACCAGCCACACUGGGACUGAGACACGGCCCAGACUCCUACGGGAGGCAGCAGUGGGGAAUUUUCCGCAAUGGGCGAAAGCCUGACGGAGCAAUACCGCGUGAGGGAGGAAGGCUCUUGGGUUGUAAACCUCUUUUCUCAGGGAAUAAGAAAGUGAGGGUACCUGAGGAAUCAGCAUCGGCUAACUCCGUGCCAGCAGCCGCGGUAAUACGGAGGAUGCAAGCGUUAUCCGGAAUGAUUGGGCGUAAAGCGUCCGCAGGUGGUUGCUCAAGUCUGCUGUCAAAGAGUCUGGCUCAACCAGAUAAAGGCAGUGGAAACUGAGGGACUAGAGUGCGGUAGGGGCAGAGGGAAUUCCUGGUGUAGCGGUGAAAUGCGUAGAGAUCAGGAAGAACACCGGUGGCGAAAGCGCUCUGCUGGACCGCAACUGACACUGAGGGACGAAAGCUAGGGGAGCGAAUGGGAUUAGAUACCCCAGUAGUC